rnacentral:rRNA from 1 species
GGAAUCUUCGGCAAUGGGGGCAACCCUGACCGAGCAACGCCGCGUGAGUGAAGAAGAUUUUCGGAUCGUAAAGCUCUGUUGUAAGAGAAGAACGUGUGUGAGAGUGGAAAGUUCACACAGUGACGGUAACUUACCAGAAAGGGACGGCUAACUACGUACCAG